rnacentral:rRNA from 1 species
AGUGAACGCUGGCGGUAGGCCUAACACAUGCAAGUCGAACGGCAGCACAGUAAGAGCUUGCUCUUACGGGUGGCGAGUGGCGGACGGGUGAGGAAUACAUCGGAAUCUACUUUUUCGUGGGGGAUAACGUAGGGAAACUUACGCUAAUACCGCAUACGACCUACGGGUGAAAGCAGGGGAUCUUCGGACCUUGCGCGAUUGAAUGACCCGAUGUCGGAUUAGCUAGUUGGCGGGGUAAAGGCCCACCAAGGCGACGAUCCGUAGCUGGUCUGAGAGGAUGAUCAGCCACACUGGAACUGAGACACGGUCCAGACUCCUACGGGAGGCAGCAGUGGGGAAUAUUGGGCAAUGGGCGCAAGCCUGAUCCAGCCAUACCGCGUGGGUGAAGAAGGCCUUCGGGUUGUAAAGCCCUUUUGUUGGGAAAGAAAAGCAGCAGGUUAAUACCCCGCUGUUCUGACGGUACCCAAAGAAUAAGCACCGGCUAACUUCGUG